GAAGUAAUGGAUAAACAUCAU
rnacentral:siRNA from 1 species